GUGGAUUAGAUACCCUGGUAGUCCUGGCCGUAAACGGUGCGCGUUUGGUGUGGGAGGAUUCGACCCCUUCUGUGCCGGAGCUAACGCGUUAAACGCGCCGCCUGGGGAGUACGGUCGCAAGAUUAAAACUCAAAGAAAUUGACGGGGGCCCGCACAAGCGGUGGAGUAUGUGGCUUAAUUCGAUGCAACGCGAAGAACCUUACCUAGCCUUGACAUGCAUCUCUAAGUCGGUGAAAGCCGGCGACUAUAGCAAUAUAGAAGUUGCACAGGUGCUGCACGGCUGUCGCCAACU
rnacentral:rRNA from 1 species